CGACAGGAUGCCAAUCCCCAAAACCUCUCUCAGUUCGGAUCGAAGUCUGCAACCCGACUUCGUGAAGCUGGAUUCGCUAGUAAUCGCGCAUCAGCCAUGGCGCGGUGAAUACGUUCCCGGGCCCUGUACACACCGCCCGUCAAGCCAUGAAAGCCGGGGGUACCUGAAGUACGUAACCGCAAGGAUCGUCCUAGGGUAAAACUGGUAAUUGGGGCUAAGUCGUAACAAGGUACC
rnacentral:rRNA from 1 species